UUUAUCAAAAACAUGGCUCUUUGCUAUAUGAAUAUAAAGAGUCGAGCCUGCCCAGUGAAUUUUUAACGGCCGCGGUACUCUGACCGUGCAAAGGUAGCAUAAUCAUUUGCCUUAUAAUUGAAGGCUAGUAUGAAUGGUUUGACGAGAGCAACACUGUCUCCUUUUUAUUUUCAAGAACUUAACUUUUAGGUGAAGAGGCCUAAAUUUUAUUGAAGGACAAGAAGACCCUGUCGAGCUUAAAAGACAUCAUAGGGCUUAAUAUAUUUUUAAAUAAAUUUUCUAUUAGGCUUUUUAGUUGGGGCGACUAAGGAACAAAAAAAGCUUCUUUUUGAUAAUAAACAAUCAUGUUUGGAUCCGGUAGUAAGCGAUUAAAGAAAUUAGUUACCGCAGGGAUAACAGCAUAAUCUCUCUUAAGAGACCUAAUCGAAAGAGGGGGUUGUGACCUCGAUGUUGGACUAGAA
rnacentral:rRNA from 1 species